GGUGAGGGUCAAACUUUAAAAGUUUAGGCUUUUUAUAAAGUCGAACAACUAUUACUAAAACCAAUACUUUAAGGUAUAGAUUCUUAGAAAUUUUAUAUUGUAUCAAUACAGUUAGAGACAAUGCAAUUUCAGGAUGAAUUUGCUUCAGCUGUUUUUAAGCUAAUCCAAAUAUAAAAACAAAACUGUUUAUAGGUUUCUUUCAUCGUACAGUAAAAACCCAAUGAAAGUAUACUCAAUAGGUGGGUAAAUCCACGUAUUUUGUGACAGUGAUUUUUCUCUUUCACUCUCACAACAUCACCACUGUAUUGUAGCGAUAGCGCUCUACAAUAUCCAUUUUCACAUUUGGUAACAUGACUUACGGUGUGUUUUUUCGCAUCUUCUUUGGUGCAUAUUCGUACAUUGAAAAGAGACAAAAUUCUGUUUUGGUAACAUGACUUACGCUGGAAUUUCCCAGGUAUGCGUACAUAAUCUAAA